rnacentral:lncRNA from 1 species
CGGGCGCGGUGGAAUCUUGCGCGGUGGUCUGCUGGUGAAGUCGGAAUCGCUCACCAGUGCCAACUUGUCGCCUUGCGCCCGCCAUAUAUCGUGGCCAGCAACUCCUGCUCUACAAUCGCUGGAAAUACCGCCUUCAGCAGGUUCGUCGUAGCCACCACUUUGUUGAGCCGGUUUUGAUUCGGGUUUCAUGGCACCUGUGCACUGGAUUGGGAACGCGCCGGUGAUGCCGUCGUUGUGCGCUCUACGCCGCCAUGGGUGACCAGCGGAUUGGGGGAAGAAUGCGUGCUGCUGUUGGAUUCUAAUCAACGGUGGAGAUUAGGCAGGAGAGUAACUCUUCGUGAAAUAGAUCUGGGUCGUGUACCUUGGAUCGUGCGUACAAGAACGGAUCGGGAUCACUUUAAAUCUGGACUGUGGAUGGUCAAUCCAAUGGAACCCUUUAGCAUACCGUUUAGGGCGGGUGUGGGCGUUGAUCUGCCUCGUCCGUUUUUAAUCUAACGGCUGGCAUAGCAUACCGCUUCGCUUUAAUGGAGGAUCUAAUUGCGACCGCAAAACUCAGAUCCAACGGCCAGUAGUUGUCCAUACCCAUUGACCGUGCGCAAUUUGUUAAAGAGUCCCUGGUUUAUAGGAUUUCAACCCGCGCUCUACCACUGUGUAAAAGUAAUUCGGUAUAGGCCCCUGGUUUUUAUAAAGUGCACCCUGUGCUUUCCGGAAAUUGUGUCCGCAGUCCAGGAAGUGAAUAAAUUGAAUAAAAUAAUUCAGAAAAUGUUUUCUAACAUAGAAAUAAACCUAUAAUCUUAUUUAAUGCAUAUUUAAUUCAUCUUAGCUCCGAAUUAAUUUAUUCCAGUUGCUAUAAAAUCAUAAUAAUAUUGUUUAUCAUAUGGUAACCUUAUUUUAUUAUGAAACAUGAGUAUAAUUUAUGCACUUAAUUUCUUUUGUGUCCAACACUUAAAUCUUUAUAAAAUCAUAACUUUAUAACCGUAACUCCGAAUUUAGUGGUUCCCGUUCCCACGAUCUCGUUACGACGUAUGGAAUAUUAUUAUUCAGUUUGUGCUUAUGUUUGGUGUGAUGUUAAUUUUGCCUAUACACUGUUUGUCUCUAUUGCUACGUUUAGCAGUGAGGACACGUGUCAUCUGAAGAGCAAGUUGGUCUGAAAUCUCAAGUGCCAGGAAAGUUGUGCCCUUCACCAUUUCUUUACCCAAAAAUGUUCUUUAAUAUCACUUAUUAUUGCAUAGGUUUAAUUUUGAUGAGACCCAAUAGGUCACCCUAGUCGGUUUAUCAUUA